rnacentral:rRNA from 1 species
AGCAGCCGCGGUAAUUCCAGCUCCAAUAGCGUAUAUUAAAGUUGUUGCAGUUAAAAAGCUCGUAGUUGAAUUUCGGAAUCGACGGAUUGGUCGCGCCUUCGGUGUGUACUGGUCUUGCCGGUUUCUCCCUUCUGACGAACCACGAUGUCAUUAAUUUGGUGUCGUGGGGAAUUAGGACUGUUACUUUGAAAAAAUUAGAGUGUUUAAAGCAGGCAUUAGCUUGAAUACAUUAGCAUGGAAUAAUGAAAUAGGACGUUUGAUCUUAUUUUGUUGGUUUCUAGGAUCGACGUAAUGAUUAAUAGGGAUAGUUGGGGGCAUUAGUAUUCAAUUGUCAGAGGUGAAAUUCUUGGAUUUAUUGAAGACUAACUACUGCGAAAGCAUUUGCCAAGGAUGUUUUCAUUAAUCAAGAACGAAAGUUAGGGGAUCGAAGACGAUCAGAUACCGUCGUAGUCUUAACCAUAAACUAUGCCGACUAGGGAUCGGAUGAUGUUAAUUUUUUAAUGACUCAUUCGGCGCCUUACG